rnacentral:lncRNA from 1 species
UAGGUUUGGUAAAGGAUGCGGCCAGGCCUGUGUACUGGGCGCCUGACCAUGAAAUCCUGCACUCCACAACUGCUGGAAGGAGUUCAGCAUCAAGUUUUCCAAGCACCACUGCCGGGCCUGCGGACAAGUGCUCCCAUGGCCACCGGGCUGUCCCCUCUCGUGGAUGGGACCAUCCCGUCCGAGUCUGCUUCAACUGCAAUAAAAAGCCCGGUGA